ACCGUUAUGGUGCAACGGCUAACAUAUGUGACUUUCAAUCACAGGAUCGGGGUUCGAAUCCCCGUAACGGUG
rnacentral:tRNA from 1 species